AUUGAACGCUGGCGGCAGGCCUAACACAUGCAAGUCGAGCGAGUGGCGGACGGGUGAGUAAUGUCUGGGGAACUGCCUGAUGGAGGGGGAUAACUACUGGAAACGGUAGCUAAUACCGCAUACCAUCAGAUGUGCCCAGAUGGGAUUAGCUAGUAGGUGGGGUAAGGGCUCACCUAGGCGACGAUCCCUAGCUGGUCUGAGAGGAUGACCAGCAACACUGGAACUGAGACACGGUCCAGAAUCCUACGGGAGGCAGCAGUGGGGAAUAUUGCACAAUGGGGGCAAGCCGGAUGCAGCCAUGCCGCGUGUUUGAAGAAGGCCUUCGGGUUGUAAAGUACUUUCAGCGAGGAGGCGUUACCCGCAGAAGAAGCACCGGCUAACUCCGUGCCAGCAGCCGCGGUAAUUC
rnacentral:rRNA from 1 species